rnacentral:rRNA from 1 species
CCAGCAGCUGCGGUAAUUCCAGCUCCAAUAGCGUAUAUUAAAGUUGUUGCAGUUAAAAAGCUCGUAGUUGGAUUUCUGGGAGGGUGCCAAUGUCCGCCGACGUGCGUGUGCAGCGGCGCUCUUCCAUCCUUCUGUUAACGCCUCUUGGCAUUCAUUUGCUGGUGGCGGGCUCAGAUAUUUUACCUUGAGAAAAUUAGAGUGUUUCAGGCAGGCUAGGCCGGAAUACAUUAGCAUGGAAUAAUAGAAUAGGACUACGGUCUCUUUGUUGGUUUGAGGGACUGCAGUAAUGAUUAAUAGGGAUAGUUGGGGGCAUUAGUACUUAACUGUCAGAGGUGGAAUUCUCGGAUUUGUUAAAGACUAACUUAUGCGAAAGCAUUUGCCAAGGAUGUUUUCAUUAAUCAAG